GACGAACGCUGGCGGCGUGCCUAAUACAUGCAAGUAGAACGCUGAAGAGAGGAGCUUGCUCUUCUUGGAUGAGUUGCGAACGGGUGAGUAACGCGUAGGUAACCUGCCUUGUAGCGGGGGAUAACUAUUGGAAACGAUAGCUAAUACCGCAUAACAAUGGAUGACACAUGUCAUUUAUUUGAAAGGGGCAAUUGCUCCACUACAAGAUGGACCUGCGUUGUAUUAGCUAGUAGGUGAGGUAAUGGCUCACCUAGGCGACGAUACAUAGCCGACCUGAGAGGGUGAUCGGCCACACUGGGACUGAGACACGGCCCAGACUCCUACGGGAGGCAGCAGUAGGGAGUCUUCGGCAAUGGGGGCAACCCUGACCGAGCAACGCCGCGUGAGUGAAGAAGGUUUUCGGAUCGUAAAGCUCUGUUGUAAGUCAAGAACGGGUGUGAGAGUGGAAAGUUCACACUGUGACGGUAGCUUACCAGAAAGGGACGGCUAACUACGUG
rnacentral:rRNA from 1 species